GCCGCCCCCCUCCCGAGCACAGGAAGGAAUGAAGAAGCUCCACCUGAGCCUCCCAACCACGCUGGCUUCCUUGUGGUCCCAGCUGUCUAGAUGUGUUCUGAAUUUUAAGGUGCGAUAACAAGAAUAUAUUUCCUCUGAAUCCAGAAGUCAGCCUGGGUCCUUGAGGUGGCCCUGUGGUCUACUUUCUAGAGUCUAACUGCAGCAGGAUGGCUCUACUCAGCAUGCGGUUACAUCAUGGAGUUCUUAGUACCGCAUCGGUCCUCCUCCACGGCAUCUGCCUCUGUGCUGCUUCCAGCCCGGUCUUCCCGUCCGUCUGCAGUGGCUUGCUUCUCAUCCAUGCCUUUCCAGACCUCUCCCAACUCACCCUUUGUUUUGUUCUUUUAUCUACCCUUGUCAUCCAGAGCACUUAGCUGCCGGUUCUGCUUUUAUAAAUAUUUUUAAAAAAAUAAACCCCUUCAUUCCUUCGUGAA
ensembl:lincRNA Gm29538 predicted gene 29538